UACGUAGGGGGCUAGCGUUGUCCGGAUUUAUUGGGCGUAAAGAGCGUGUAGGCGGCCAUGUAGGUCCGGUGUGAAAACUCGAGGCUUAACCUCGAGAUGUCAUCGGAAACCAUUUGGCUAGAGUCCGGAAGAGGAGAGUGGAAUUCCUGGUGUAGCGGUGAAAUGCGCAGAUAUCAGGAAGAACACCAAUGGCGAAAGCAGCUUUCUGGGACAGUACUGACGCUGAGACGCGAAAGCGUGGGGAGCGAACAGG
rnacentral:rRNA from 1 species